GCCCAGCUAGCUCAGUUGGUAGAGCAUGAGACUCUUAAUCUCAGGGUGUUGGAUU
rnacentral:tRNA from 1 species